UCCUACGGGAGGCAGCAGUAAGGAAUAUUGGUCAAUGGUGGGAACGCUGAACCAGCCAUCCCGCGUGCAGGACGAAGGCCCUCUGGGUCGUAAACUGCUUUUACCAGGAAAGAAACGGGCGGGCUUGCCCGCUCCUGACGGUACCUGGGGAAUAAGCACCGGCUAACUCCGUGCCAGCAGCCGCGGUAAUA
rnacentral:rRNA from 1 species